AAGGGCGUAUGGCGGAUGCCUAUGCUCACGGAGGCGAUGAAGGACGUGAUAAGCUGCGAUAAGCCGCGGGUAGAUGCAAAUGCUCUUUGAUCCGCGGAUUUCCGAAUGGGACAACCCGGCCGUCGGAAGGACGGUCAUCGUUAUGUUUUAUUAACG
rnacentral:rRNA from 1 species